rnacentral:rRNA from 1 species
UACGGGGGGCGCAAGCGUUGUUCGGAUUUACUGGGCGUAAAGGGCGCGUAGGCGGCGUAACAAGUCACUUGUGAAAUCUCCGGGCUUAACCCGGAGCGGCCAAGUGAUACUGUUGUGCUAGAGUGCGGAAGGGGCUACUGGAAUUCUCGGUGUAGCGGUGAAAUGCGUAGAUAUCGAGAGGAACACCUGCGGCGAAGGCGGGUAGCUGGGCCGACACUGACGCUGAGGCGCGAAAGCUAGGGGAGCAAACGGG